UCAGCAUCUGAAAUGAAGUAGGACCACCCGCUGAACUUAAGCAUAUCAUUAAGCGGAGGAAAAGAAACUAACAAGGAUUCCCCUAGUACGGGCGACGGAAGCGGGAAAAGCCCACGCUGGUAAUCUGCGGGCGUUAGCUCGCCGAAUUGUAAUCUGAAGACGGUUGGUCUAAUUGGAUCGGGCGCCGAAGUGUGCACGAGCGCGCCGCCAAAGAGGGUGAGAGCCCCGUAAGGUGCCAGAUCCUACC
rnacentral:rRNA from 1 species